UGACGCAGCAACGCCGCGUGCGGGAUGAAGGCCUUCGGGUUGUAAACCGCUUUCAGCAGGGACGAAAAUGACGGUACCUGCAGAAGAAGCCCCGGCUAAAUACGUGCCAGCAGCCGCGGUAAUACGUAUGGGGCAAGCGUUAUCCGGAUUCAUUGGGCGUAAAGAGCGCGUAGGCGGAUUGUUAAGUCAGAUGUGAAAACCGGGGGCUCAACCCGCGGCCUGCAUCUGAAACUGGCAGUCUUGAGUCUGGUAGAGGAAAGUGGAAUUCCCAGUGUAGCGGUGAAAUGCGCAGAUAUUGGGAGGAACACCAGUGGCGAAGGCGGCUUUCUGGGCCACGACUGACGCUGAGGCGCGAAAGCUAGGGGAGCAAACAGGAUUAGAUACCCUGGUAGUCCUAGCAGUAAACGAUGGGCACUAGGUGUGGGGGGUCAUCAACUCCCUCCGUGCCGCAGCUAACGCAUUAAGUGCCCCGCCUGGGGAGUACGACCGCAAGGUUAAAACUCAAAG
rnacentral:rRNA from 1 species